GUCGCGUCAACUGUGUUUACGAGUGUCUUGUGUUCAGAUUGUUUUAAGUGAUAAUUUAACAAUAUUUUUCCAAAUAAAUGGAAAGAACCUUUUAUUUAUAUCAAAUAAUUGAGUGUCUCGACUGUGUGACAUUAUGUCUUGUGUGGUAUGGGGCUGCAGCUCACAUUCAGGAAGAAAAGAAAAUAGCCAACAACUUCUGUCGUUUCAUCGAUAUUAAAUCCAAAAGUGUCGACUGGAUUUACAUGAAAAGUCAGUUCAAGAAGACGAGAUGAAAAAUUUAAAAGAAAAGCUGAACAAGUCCCGCCUCAAGAUCAAACGACUUAAAAAAAAAAAAAAAAACAAUGUGACAGGGUGUCACAAAGACAGUUUCUAAGCAAAUUGACACUGUUUAGAAAUUAAUAAAUUUGUAUUUAUUGUAAA